rnacentral:rRNA from 1 species
GUUCUCCGUAUUGGCACUUCCAUAGCGGUUGGUACCGGAUCAUCGACCCUGUUCUGGUUUGAUCGAUGGCUUGGUGACUCCCCCUUGGCCGCGCGAUUUCCUGCGCUCUUCACUAUUGCAGUUGACCCCCGUAUAUUUGUCGAGGCGGCCAUUAUUGACUUAGGGCGCCUCGCCUUCCGCCACCCCUUCGGCCCUCCAGAGGUUGCUACCUGGGACGCCCUUAUGCUGGACAUCGCCCUCCUCCCUAUGGACGGCGUUGGCUCCCCGGAUGUCACAUCUUGGCGGCUUGAGCCCUCCGGCUGCUUCUCCAUCAAAUCCCUCUACGCGGCCAUUGCACCCUCGACAGCCCCCGAACCCUUUAGUGUGAUUUGGGAUAUUCGCCUGCCCCUGAAGAUCAGGAUCUUCAUGUGGCAAUGGAUUCGCGGUCGCCUCCCGACUGGCGUGGAGGUCCGUAAGCGGAAUGGACCUGGGAACGGGAUGUGCCCCUUGUGCGACACGAUGGAGGAUGCUAACCACAUCUUCUUCUCGUGCUCUACGGCUCAGUUCCUUUGGUCCUGCUUCCGCGAGACGGUUGGGGGCCAGUGGUGUAACACCAACUUCCCUGACCUGCUUGCGGAAAUCCAUGCCUCCCCCCUCGCUACCGCCAUAUCAGAUGGCUCUGCGUUGGGGUCCUCGCCUGGACGCUCUCGACCGUUCGCAAUAAGCUUGUCAUUCAGAAGGUCCCCCUUCGACGUGCUACUGACGCCAUCUUUAAAAUGUGUGGAUACUUGUAGCUCUGGCGACCGCUUAGCCGCCCUCAGGAUUGGGCCGUCAUCAACAACCUCAUCGCCGACCUUCGCUCGAUGGCCUUCAGCUUGGCGCCCCCGCUCCCCCCGCCACCACCGGAGCCAGACUAGAUGCUGUGCCGCACCCUCUAUGUGCGCGCCUUUUUUCGCUUUUUAG